CACUGCUGAGGAGUCCCACAAUAGGACGAAAUGGCCGUCCAGCGC
rnacentral:hammerhead_ribozyme from 1 species